CAAUAGCGUAUAUUAAAGUUGUUGCAGUUAAAAAGCUCGUAGUUGGAUUUCUGGUCGGAAGCUCCUGUCCUCUGAUGAGCGUACAAGUGCGUCCUACCAUCCUUCUGUUAACCUUUAAGGCUUUCGCGGCUUUCUAGGGGCUCAGAUAUUUUACCUUGAGAAAAUUAGAGUGUUUCAGGCAGGCUAGCGCCGGAAUACAUUAGCAUGGAAUAAUGGAAUAGGACUUUUGCCUCUUCUGUUGGUCAUGAGGCUCGAGUAAUGAUUAAUAGGGAUAGUUGGGGGCAUUAGUACUUAACUGUAAGAGGUGAAAUUCUCGGAUUUGUUAAAGACUAACUUAUGCGAAAGCAUUUGCCAAGGAUGUUUUCAUUAA
rnacentral:rRNA from 1 species